rnacentral:misc_RNA from 1 species
UUAACUUAUUUGUAUAUUACUCGGACAACACAAAAAUCAAGAGUUUAGGGUCCUCUGGCAGGCACUGACCAGCUGAUGCCAGUAGUCAAAAGACAGGCCUGCCAAAGCAACAAAGGUAUAGUAAACAAAGGGUGGAGAUCUACCCCAAGGGGCAAGUUCUCUGUAAUGAUCCUUCCGCAGGUUCACCUACGGAAA